rnacentral:rRNA from 1 species
CACGUAGGGCGCGAGCGUUGUCCGGAAUUAUUGGGCGUAAAGCGCACGUAGGCGGCUUUGUAAGUAAGAGGUGAAAGCCCAGAGCUCAACUCCGGAAUUGCCUUUAAGACUGCAUCGCUAGAAUUGUGGAGAGGUAAGUGGAAUUCCGAGUGUAGAGGUGAAAUUCGUAGAUAUUCGGAAGAACACCAGUGGCGAAGGCGACUUACUGGACACAUAUUGACGCUGAGGUGCGAAAGCGUGGGGAGCAAACAGG